ACGGAGGGUGCAAGCGUUAAUCGGAAUUACUGGGCGUAAAGCGCGCGUAGGUGGCUGUUCAAGCCAGAUGUGAAAUCCCCGGGCUUAACCUGGGAACUGCAUUUGGAACUGGGCAGCUAGAGUACAGCAGAGGAGUGUGGAAUUUCAGGUGUAGCGGUGAAAUGCGUAGAGAUCUGAAGGAACAUCAGUGGCGAAGGCGACACUCUGGGCUGAUACUGACACUGAGGUGCGAAAGCGUGGGUAGCAAACAGG
rnacentral:rRNA from 1 species